AUUGAACGCUGGCGGCAUGCCUUACACAUGCAAGUCGAACGGCAGCACGGGAGCAAUCCUGGUGGCGAGUGGCGAACGGGUGAGUAAUAUAUCGGAACGUGCCCAGUCGUGGGGAUAACGUAGCGAAAGCUACGCUAAUACCGCAUACGAUCUAUGGAUGAAAGCGGGGGAUCGCAAGACCUCGCGCGAUUGGAGCGGCCGAUAUCAGAUUAGGUAGUUGGUGAGGUAAAGGCUCACCAAGCCGACGAUCUGUAGCUGGUCUGAGAGGACGACCAGCCACACUGGGACUGAGACAGGCCCAGACUCCUACGGGAGGCAGCAGUGGGGAAUUUUUGGACAAUGGGCGCAAGCCUGAUCCAGCAAUGCCGCGUGCAGGAUGAAGGCCUGGU
rnacentral:rRNA from 1 species